rfam:TPA: Bos taurus chromosome 12, whole genome shotgun sequence.
UCCCUCAUAGCUCAGUUGGUAAAUCAUCUGCCUGCAAUGCAGGAGACCUGGGUUCGAUUCCUGGGUUGGGAA